AAGGAUAUAGCUCAGUGGUAGAGUGCGUGCUUAGCAUGCAUGAGGUAGUGGGUUUAAUCCCCAGUAACUUCA
rnacentral:tRNA from 1 species